UGAAGAAAAACUUCCCUGUUAUCAGGUUUGCUACUCUGUUAUUUUUGGCCAGGUUUUAUAUGUUCUGGUAAGAUUUAUAUAUAAUCAGUGGUAGCUGUAGUUAGGCCAAAUUACACUGAAAAUGUCCCUGAAAACAAUGUAAAACGUUUUUGGUCCGUCUUAAAGGGGUCCAGUCAAAACUUAGCCACACCCUUAGCCACACCCUAUUUGGCCCCGAAAAUCUGCGUUUUACGCUAUUUUGAACAGUGAUAAAAAUUCCUUAAAUUAAUGCCUGGUAUUGGGGCUAGUGGGGCUCAGCCCCACCAACGAUUUCUAAGAACAUGUUUUAGAUUUAUAAACAUAAAUAAAAUCAACGUCAAUUAUUAUCUUAGCACUGUUCACUAAUUUCGUUGCUUCGAGUUUCACCAUUUUUCCAGUCUCUAGUUUGUUUAGGUCCCAAUGCCCGCGGUUCUUUUGAAAACUAGAGCAUCCAAAGUUGAUUGAGGAUAGAGGCUUGUAACUAUUCACUUCCAGGGCAAUUGCUUAUUCGGGGGCUUAAAGAGGUGUAAUCCGAGUCGAGAAUUAAUAGCCCACAGGCUAAGAAUUGAAGGUAUGUGCCUAACUUAUGCUAUGGACUUUACCAUGAAGUGAUAUUGCAUUAUGGGAUCGAGCUGAUUCACUCUCACUGUUCACUCUCUGUUCUGUGCAGGAAAGUAAAGUAUUUCCUCUUUUCUUUGGAAGUUACAGCAGGAGGAAAAGAACAGGACAGCUUCGAAAUGUUCGGAACAAAUGCAUAUGGCCAGCAGGUCCAGCAAUUUCAAAAGCAAAUUGAGCAGUUGAAGAGGGAAGUAAGAAUCGAAAGGCGUCAAGUUUCAUCAAGCUCUCGAGAGAUUGUUGCAUUCUGUGAAAAUGAGAAAAGAGCUGAUCCAUUGGUCUCAAAGUUUCCUGACAACCCAUUCAGAGACAAGAAAGGGAUCUGUUCUGUUUUCUAAGCUGUACAAAUGCAAAGCUUUCAUUUGUGAAAACGACCACUAGUAAACUGAAGUUUGGCCAAGGCAUCAUGUAAUGCUUACCAUGUUUGAACUAAAAUGAGCAUCAGGUGGUCAUUCACCAUCAGAUGUCUGUAUACAUUAAUGAAUUUACUUUCUGUUUGUUAACAUUAAGCUUUGACUGAUUCUUUUCAAUGUCUUAUGUAUGUUCGUUAUAAUUUUGUCCACCUAUUAGUGGAUGUUGUAAUAACUGCUGACUAAUUUAGGGUAAUGUUUGAGUCCACCUAGUCAUAAGAUAUGAAUAAACAUUUUUCUAUGCAAUUUUUUACCGUUUUCAGAAUGCAUCCACCUUUGUUAGGCUUCAUGAAGUAACAUUUACCAACCUUAUAUAAUAUAUUCAUGUGUAUCUGACCAUAGCUUAUUUUUAAAAUUUAGAUAUCUGUAAUGUUAAUUAGUAUUUUUAUAUACCAUUUCAUUGAUAUUAAUUUUUUUUUGAAGAAAACCGGGGAUUUUGUUUUAGGCCCUCUACUGUUGAGAACAUUUUUAUAAAAGGAAUAUUAUAUUUUUUAAUGUUUGGUUGA